GGCCUAGUGGUCUAGUCGUAUGAUUCUUGCUUCGGGUGCAAGAGGUCCCGGGUUCAAUUCCCGGCUGGGCCC